AUACCUCAACCUCCUUGGUUUCUUCUGGAGACCGAAGGAGGCUUGGACUUUGGAGGCCCUUGCUGGCGUCUCUGCCAGCUCCUCUCAAAUGAAUUAGUGGGGUCCCCUUUGCCGACCCUUGACAUGUGAUAAGAUGCUUCCGUGUCUCGGUUUCUGGCUCUGUUGCUUUUGGGACCCGCUUCUAAUCGUCUAGACCUCGCGUCAAGACAAUGUUCAAGCCAUGUCUCCCUUGUCGGGAAACGUCCUUGACCUCGUGAAC
rnacentral:misc_RNA from 1 species